rnacentral:rRNA from 1 species
AUGCACUUUCUUCCCCGUCUUCCACUCUUCUUCCUCCUCUCUUCUUCUUCCUCCUCUCUUCUUCUUCCUCCUCUCUUCCCCAUCGUCGGCCGCACACCAUUUACCCCCGCUCACUGCUCGCCCACCCGCGCCAUCUUCCUUGCAGACGCAAAUGCGCUGGCCUUCAUGAUUCCAGGACCUGGAAUCAUACCAGCCGAUGGCACGACCCUCUUCUGUUGGAUAUUAUGUACUGUUGUUAGUUUGAAGCACUCCUCUGGUUUGAAGGUACCAUAUAACUGGAAUUACCGAUGUAAGUCGAAGAAGGAUUGGCCGGUGCUGCCGGCUGGCGUCAAGUUCGAUCCCACGGAUCAGGAGCUGAUCGAGCACCUUGAGGCCAAAGUGAGUGCUGACAGCGCGAGAUUUCAGUCUCUCAUCGAUUUCUUCAUACCAACCAUCGACAGCGAGCACGGCAUAUGCUACACCCAACCUGAGAAACUUCCAGGUAUCACACUGAGUGGCCUAAGGAAGCAUUUCUUCCAGCGCAAUUCCAGGGCGUUCAAAAGGGGCACGUGGACGUGUCGCAAGAUACAGUCGGAGUGCGGCAUGCACGCGAUGUGGCACAAGACCGACAAUACCUUGCCGGUGAUGGUCAACGGCCAGCAAGACGGGCAGCAAAAAAGGUUCUGGUACUGCACACCAACAAGAGCUUCGACCAGCAGAGGACCAACUCGGUGA